CACGUAGGGGGCAAGCGUUGUCCGGAAUCAUUGGGCGUAAAGAGCUCGUAGGCGGCUCGGUAAGUCGGGUGUGAAACCCCCAGGCUCAACCUGGGGACGCCACCCGAUACUGCUGUGGCUAGAGUCCAGUAGGGGAGUGUGGAAUUCCCGGUGUAGCGGUGAAAUGCGCAGAUAUCGGGAGGAACACCAGUAGCGAAGGCGGCUCGCUGGGCCGUUCCUGACGCUGAGACGCGAAAGCUAGGGGAGCGAACAGG
rnacentral:rRNA from 1 species